rnacentral:rRNA from 1 species
CCUACGGGAGGCAUCAGUGAGGAAUAUUGGUCAAUGGUCGGGAGACUGAACCAGCCAAGCCGCGUGAGGGAUGAAGGUACAGAGUAUCGUAAACCUCUUUUGUCAGGGAACAAAGGCGGGGACGUGUCCCCGGAUGAGUGUACCUGAAGAAAAAGCAUCGGCUAACUCCGUGCCAGCAGCCGCGGUAAUACGGAGGAUGCGAGCGUUAUCCGGAUUUAUGGGGUUUAAAGGGUGCGCAGGCGGUCUGUUAAGUCAGCGGUCAAAGCCCGGGGCUCAACCCCGGCCCGCCGUUGAAACUGGCAGUCUCGAGUUGGAGAGAAGUAUGCGGAAGGCGCGGUGUAGCGGUGAAAUGCAUAGAUAUCGCGCAGAACUCCGAUUGCGAAGGCAGCAUGCCGGCUCCACACUGACGCUGAGGCACGAAAGCGUGGGUAUCGAACAGGAUUAGAUACCCUAGUAGUC